rnacentral:rRNA from 1 species
AGUAACGGCGAGUGAAGCGGCAACAGCUCAAAUUUGAAAUCUGGCCCUCGGGUCCGAGUUGUAAUUUGUAGAGGAUGCUUUUGGCGCGGUGCCUUCCGAGUUCCCUGGAACGGGACGCCAUAGAGGGUGAGAGCCCCGUCUGGUUGGACACCAAGCCUCUGUAAAGCUCCUUCGACGAGUCGAGUAGUUUGGGAAUGCUGCUCUAAAUGGGAGGUAUAUGUCUUCUAAAGCUAAAUAUUGGCCAGAGACCGAUAGCGCACAAGUAGAGUGAUCGAAAGAUGAAAAGCACUUUGAAAAGAGAGUUAAAUAGCACGUGAAAUUGUUGAAAGGGAAGCGAUUAUGACCAGACUUGGGCUUGGUUGAUCAUCCGGCGUUCUCGCCGGUGCACUCUUCCGGCCCAGGCCAGCAUCAGUUCGCUGCGGGGGAUAAAGGCGUCGGGAAUGUGGCUCCCUCGGGAGUGUUAUAGCCCUUCGUGCAAUGCCCUGCGGUGGACUGAGGACCGCGCUUUAUGCAAGGAUGCUGGCGUAAUGGUCAUCAUCGACCCGUCUUGAAACACGGACCAAGGAGUCGUCUUCGUAUGCGAGUGUUCGGGUGUCAAACCCCUACGCGUAAUGAAAGUGAACGCAGGUGAGAGCUUCGGCGCAUCACCGACCGAUCCUGAUGUUCUCGGAUGGAUUUGAGUAAGAGCAUACGGAGCCGGACCCGAAAGAAGGUGAACUAUGCCUGUAUAGGGUGAAGCCAGAGGAAACUCUGGUGGAGGCUCGCAGCGGUUCUGACGUGCAAAUCGAUCGUCAAAUAUGGGCAUGGGGG